UAAGAUCCGCAGGACAUUAACCUGCAUCUCAUAAAUGCAACUCAAACGCUUUAAUUAAGCUAGGACCUUUC
rnacentral:tRNA from 1 species